GCCUGGCUGGCUCAGUCGGUAGAGCAUGUGACUCUUCAUCUCAGGGUUGUGAGUUGAAGCCCCAUGCUGGGUG
rnacentral:tRNA from 1 species